GUUAUGAUAUUAGAAUAGGUAUAACCCCAAUCUGUAUUUCAACUUCAGCACAUGCAAGACUUAAUUAUAGAUAUCAUUAAAAAAAAAUUGAUGCUUUUUAAAAAUAGGAAGUACAUUUAAAUCUAUUUGACAAGAUCUGUUUGCUGUUCCUCGUUUGCAUUAUCUGUUGUACAGAAUACAUAAAAUGCAUGUUCUAGCUAUUUAUUAAAGACAUAUCUUGAAGGCAUAGGUUCAAGUUACAGAAGUAUUUUUUGAAUAGAAAUAUUCCUGGCGGUUAAUAAAUUGGCAUUUCUUUUAUGGUUUUGAUUAUAUCUUUAUUUUAACCAUUAGAGGGCACAUUAGUUCAAGAAAAAUUAAAAUCACAGCAACAAGAAGAAAAUAGGCUUAGAAGUGAUAGGCAGAGAAAAUUUCUGUGUUUUACUGUGCAUAUUUUCACUCAUUUUAUUGUCACUUGCAACAUAAUCUAUUAGUUUUUUAAAUCUGGAAAGAAUUCAAGUGUAUAUAGUUUCAUUUAAGAAAUGACUCUUCACUUUUUAUUGCUAGCUACUGCUCCUAAGAGAAUGAAGUUGGCCUAGUUGAAUUUGAUGAGGUUGACUAUUAUGUGACCAAGAAGGACAUAAUAAAUCAUGGCAUUUGAGGAACAUCCUGAGUUCAAAGAUUCUUCUCUUCCAGACUAAUGCUGAUCAGAGCUGCAUGCCACGAGGACUUAGUGAUAAAACCACACUGGCCCGGCUGUUUCAGAGUGUUAUCUGUGAAGAGGGGCGGUGGCCCAGGUGGAUGCCUUUCACUUGGGCCCUAAGUCCAUUCACUUUCUAUAGCGGUUUCAUGAGAUUCAUCCUGGAGCUGUCAUGAUCUCAGAGCUAUCGUAUUAGCAUCACUGUUGGACAUGAACACAUAUUGACAAUAGCCUUAACUUCUCUUCUUCCUUAAAGAAACUUCUAAACCACGGCACUACCGUGCAUCUAUGUGGAUAGAGCCCAAAUGCGAGUUUCCCUUGGUGAUGAUAGGAUAAAUGUAUACUUUGUCUCACUUUUCAAUUAGGGUGAUUGUGUGAUGACUCUAUCCUUAGUACCUUUAUACAUUGUUAUCCUGGGACUACAUCUUCCUCAUCAUAUUAGAACUUUCUGCUCUGAAGGCUGAGGAGUGUGCAAUGGCCUGUGGGCUCGGUGUUGGAUAUUUUAAGUAUGGCAGAGCCAGAGGAGGUGUACUGAGUGACUGAAGAUCUCUACGUUAGGCCCUGUGUGGAAGCUCUUUGUGUAAGUCUAUACUCUCUGCCUCAGAUUCCUCUUUCUCAUGUGUGUGUGGGGAGAACCUAAAAAUAGUGCUUGAAAGGGUUGCCAAGAUCUUAGCUUUGUGUUGGAGAAACCGUCCACUAAUCUUAUUGCCUGAAACCAGAGUCAAAGAAGGUGCUCUGAAAUGAAGGUUCAGAAGAAGAACAAACGUUUCCACAUUGAUUUCCAGCAAGGCAUCCAGCCUUCUACCUGGUUACUGAGGAGGUGAGGCAGAUGAGAACGCACCUGCGGCUCAGGGCCAGGGCGGGCGCGUGCCUCCCAGCUCUGGGUCCCUGUGGUGUAUGCCAUGUUUGAUGUGUAACUAACCCAUCUCAGCCUCAGGUUUUAGGUAUAGCAAGUGGAGGAGAGCUCUGCUAUGUUGCCGAUGAUGGGAAGUAUUUUUAAAUUUAAUAAAUGCAUGGUAUGAUUAUUCCUUUUUAGAACCACAGACAGAAGCCUAUAGGGCUCACCGUUCUGCAGUUGGUGCAGUAACUUCCUCCUCGGCUGGCUUUCUCUCCUCUUCCUCCACCCCAGGGACCUGUUGUGGCUCUCUCCUCUAGUGCAGAGUUAAGACUGUCAGGGGAAUACCAGUUAAUUGCUGAGUAGCUAAUCAGCAUCGUAAAGGUCAGUGAUAACAGGCAACAACUUACUCAUGUUCACAAACAGCAGGAUAUG